CGCUGCAGGGCGCCGGCGCGGGGCGGCUCGGUUGCCGCUGGAGCGGGCCAGCGCCUGGGUCAGUUCCAGCGCAUGUUCGAACGCCUGCCGCACCGA
rnacentral:tRNA from 1 species